rnacentral:lncRNA from 1 species
GGGCAGGCUUUGAGGUUUCCAAUGCUUGGAAUACUGCCCAGUGACUUCCUGCUGCCUUCUGGUCAAGAUGUAACCAGCAUUACAUCUGCCUGCUGUCAUGCUCCCUGUCACGAUGAUAAUGGACUGAACCUCUGAAACUAUAACUGUUGCACACAGGAAUGUAUACCAGCUAUAGUAAUCUGCAUAAAAUCUGUACAUGAUCAAGACAAUCAAUAUUCCUACAUGGAUGAGAGAGGCUAAUCAAGUUCCACCCCUGAGGAGCUGUUGGCGUUUGAUAGUUUCUGGAAGAAGGAAAACUUUUUUUUUUUUAAGGAGUAUGUCCAUUGUUAGGUUGCCCAAGUUCCAGUGAAUGACUCUUCGCCUAUGCAAAUGCAGACAAAACUAACAGGACUCAUCAGGCUACUUUACAAAAGGAGAAGAGGAAAUCAGGCACUGGUCUUUCAGGAUGUUGAAGACCUCUCUGGAUCCCCAGGACUUCAAAUAUGAAGAUACAUGAUUGAAUUCUUUUUUCUCACUCAGCAAGGUGCCACAUCCUGAAGGGUCCCCAUCAACUGGAGAAGCAUGCAAGCUUUCUUCUUACCUUGCAAGAUGUUCCUACAUGUUCAUGGGGGGAAGUUCUUGUCUUGUUGCAGUUCCUGCUCAAGUCAUUAUAUCAACAUUACUUCAUUUUAACCUAUUAGGUAAUUUAUUUUUGGCCUCAAAUCCAAUUACUACAAAGGUGUUGAGGCAUCUCACCCAAAUAUUUGCGUCUUUAACUUUCUGAGAGAAAGUAUUGGGCUUCCCUUUUUUUCUGAGCAUAAUUGCUGUUCCAUAACCACUUCUGAUUAGAAAGGAGGGGAGAGAAAACACAUGCGAUGGAGCUCUGGUACUAUGGAGGUCACAAGAUAUUUUAGGGAAGACUAAAAGUUGGAGA